GUCUAUGGCCAUGCCACCCUGAACAAGCCCGAUCCCAUCUGGUCUCAGAAGCUAAGCAGGGUUGGGCCUGGUUAGUACUUGGAUGGGAGACCCCACCUAGGAAGACGAAGUGCUGUAGAUG
rnacentral:rRNA from 1 species